AGUGAACGCUGGCGGUAGGCCUAACACAUGCAAGUCGAACGGCAGCACAGUAAGAGCUUGCUCUUACGGGUGGCGAGUGGCGGACGGGUGAGGAAUACAUCGGAAUCUACUUUUUCGUGGGGGAUAACGUAGGGAAACUUACGCUAAUACCGCAUACGACCUACGGGUGAAAGCAGGGGAUCUUCGGACCUUGCGCGAUUGAAUGAGCCGAUGUCGGAUUAGCUAGUUGGCGAGGUAAAGGCCCACCAAGGCGACGAUCCGUAGCUGGUCUGAGAGGAUGAUCAGCCACACUGGAACGGAGACACGGUCCAGACUCCUACGGGAGGCAGCAGUGGGGAAUAUUGGACAAUGGGCGCAAGCCUGAUCCAGCCAUACCGCGUGGGUGAAGAAGGUCUUCGGGUUGUAAAGCCCUUUUGUUGGGAAAGAAAAGCAGCAGGUUAAUACCCCGCUGUUCUGACGGUACCCAAAGAAUAAGCACCGGCUAACUACGUG
rnacentral:rRNA from 1 species